ACUCUCGGAUUCCACGCAACAUAGGGAGGGGAUGGGGGCUAAAAUUUCGGAAUAUUUAAGUUCCUAGCAUUUGUUACCUGUUCACAAUUAAUGCUCAACCUAGUGCACCUCAAACCUCAAUGAACUAGAUUAUAACAUUUUUUUUUUUUUUUUAAGGAGGAGCAAAACUGUCUUCUGUAAGCUGUGAUUUAUUUCAUUUCAGAAACUGAAAGUCGCCCAAGUAGGAGGAGGAAAGGAAACAAGUUGUAAGGAUAUUACAGGCCAUCGCAGAAAUGUGGUCAAGGAAUACAAGUAGGGGGGCUGUAGGAGUGAAGAGAAAGCCACUGAUUGCAGAAAAUACCUUAGGGGACUUCAUUAACAUCUUGUGAAUGUUCCUUCAAGUUUGAUUGAACAAGGGCGAUUUUCCUCCGCACAACUGAUAGAGUUCGAAUAUGCUGGAUCCGGUAUUAUUUUAGAUUAAUUUAAUCUUCAUGCUUUCAAUGUUCAGCCCCUGAUCUAUUUCCUCUGAUGGUCUGCUGUAACAAUCCAGACUUCUUAAUAAAGAUGUAUCCCCUGCAGUGAA